GAGUAAAGACCUCGGUCGCUUUGGGAGGAGCUCGCUUACUAUCAGCUUGUUGGUAGGGUAACGGCCUACCAAGGCUAUGACGGUUAGGGGGUGUGAGAGCAUGACCCCCAGCAUUGGCACUGAAACACUGGCCAAACACCUACGGGUGGCUGCAGUCGAGAAUCUUCCACAAUGGGGGAAACCCUGAUGGAGCGAUGCUGCGUGCGGGAUGAAGGCCUUCGGGUAGUAAACCGCUUUUGUAGGGGACGAAAUUUUUGACGGUACCCUUUCGAAUAAGAGGUUGCUAACUCUGUGCCAGCAGCAGCGGUAAUACAGAGACCUCAAGCGUUAUCCGGAUUUACUGGGCGUAAAGCGUCUGUAGGGGGUUUAUUAAGUUCCAAGUAAAAUUUCAAGGCUCAACUUUGAAUUCGCUUGGAAAACUAAUAAACUGGAGUCUAGCAGAGGUGCAUGGAACUUGUGGUGUAGGAGUGAAAUCCGUUGAUAUCACAAGGAACACCAAAGGCGAAGGCAUUGCACUGGGCUAGCACUGACCCUGAGAGACGAAAGCGUGGGGAGCAAAACGGAUUAGAUACCCGUGUAGUCCACGCCCUAAGCGAUGAAUGCUAAAUGUUCGGGGGAU
rnacentral:rRNA from 1 species